ACUCAAAUGAAUUGACGGGGACCCGCACAAGCGGAGGAUGAUGUGGUUUAAUAUGACGAUACGCGUAGAACCUUACCAAGGCUUGACAUCCCUGGGAUCUCUUGGAAACAGGAGAGUGCCUUCGGGAGCCAGGUGACAGGUGCUGCAUGGCCGUCGUCAGCUCGUGUCGUGAGAUGUUGGGUUAAGUCCCGCAACGAGCGCAACCCUUGUCGUAUGUUGAAUUUUUCAUACGAGACUGCCCGGGCCAACCGGGAGGAAGGUGGGGUCGAAGUCAGGUCAGCAUGGCCCUUACGCCUUGGGCUACACACGUCAUACAAUGGCCGGUACAACGCGUUGCCAAGCCGCGAGGCGGAGCUAAUCGCACCAAAACCGGUCUCAGUUCGGAUUGGAGGCUGCAACUCGCCUCCAUGAAGUUGGAUUCGCUAGUAACCGUGGGUCAGCAUACCGCGGUGAAUACGUUCCCGGGUCUUGCACACACCGCCCGU
rnacentral:rRNA from 1 species